GUGAGGAAUAUUGCGCAAUGGGCGAAAGCCUGACGCAGCGACGCCGCGUGAAGGAAGAAGGUCUUCGGAUCGUAAACUUCUAUCCUUGGUGAAGAUAAUGACGGUAGCCGAGAAGGAAGCCCCGGCUAACUACGUGCCAGCAGCCGCGGUAAUACGUAGGGGGCAAGCGUUGUCCGGAAUGAUUGGGCGUAAAGUGCGCGUAGGCGGCCUGGUAAGUCUGGAGUGAAAGUCCUGCUUUUAAGGUGGGAAUUGCUUUGGAUACUGUCGGGCUUGAGUGCAGGAGAGGUAAGUGGAAUUCCCGGUGUAGCGGUGAAAUGCGUAGAGAUCGGGAGGAACACCAGUGGCGAAGGCGACUUACUGGACUGUAACUGACGCUGAGGCGCGAAAGUGUGGGGAGCAAACAGGAUUAGAUACCCCGGUAGUCC
rnacentral:rRNA from 1 species